AAAUAUUCGUCAACCCGUUGAUCCAUAGAUGAAGGAAUAUAACUUUCAGAUUCAACGUUGAAAAGUCACAGAAGCGAGUGCGACAAUCUUACAACCGCAAGAGUCUCUAACACAAAGAAGUUCUGGCCACUGACUCGUUCAUACACUGUAUGCAGGCUACUUGAUAGUUUAUAGGUGCCAAAUAAGUACUUAACAUCAUCUGGAACCGUAGAUGAACGAACAAACCUAUCUAUGAAUGUUAUACAGAAGGUAAUAUCCAACGUUGAAAAUAUCGAAAGCUACAGCGAGAACCUUACACCCGUUAGGCUCUUUCUGACACAAUUAAAAUGAAUUCUUCCGACACCAGAGAAAAUGCUCAUCGUUCUAUGCCGUUGCAGAAAAUUUCAAUGGCGCAAGAAGGCUUUGAAAUUGCGCCUCCACCCUUUCCAUCAAAAUAAAGGACUUAUUCUGCUUAGCUUGUCUUUGAACUCGAGGACGUCCCGUAACCUGAGCCGGAAUGUAGAGAAGGUGAAGAUAGAACAUGAACGAAUUUUCUUUGCAAGCACAAAGUCCUCACCACUUGCAUAUCCAUAUGGUCUAUACGAACUACUUAACUUUAUAAGGGUUCAAAGAACGACGUUUUGAAAACAACCAGCGAACACAACUAUUUUAAGACGUUAUACAGAAGACAAGAUCCAAUGUUUGCAAGCUAGUAACGGUUAGCUGGUCUUGGAACCCAGGAACUUCCGUUGAACUGAAUUAGAGCCGGAAGCUAAAGCCGAAUAUAGAAGAAAAGAGAUUGAUUUAGUCUUGAAAGGUAUGUGUAUUUAAAUUGUUAAAGAUUGACGAUGUCACUAUAAUGAGGGCGUUAAAAGUAAGGAUACUAAAAUUAGGCAUUUUGAACAGUGAUUAAUGUAAUCCCUUUGUUUUUCUGAAGGGGAAGGAAUGUGAAGUAGCAGGUUCAAUUUUUUAGUUUUGAAUUUGUUAACCUUUCUAUUGUUAUUCAUUCUCUCGUUUGGUUAAGUUGUAAAUAUUUAGCUUUACAUAUAAACACUAACUCACAUUCUAGUUAGUCACAUCAAUUUUUAAAU